rnacentral:rRNA from 1 species
AACGCUAGCUACAGGCUUAACACAUGCAAGUCGAGGGGCAGCGGGAUUGAAGCUUGCUUCAAUUGCCGGCGACCGGCGCACGGGUGAGUAACGCGUAUCCAACCUUCCGUACACUCAGGGAUAGCCUUUCGAAAGAAAGAUUAAUACCUGAUAGUAUGAUGAGAUUGCAUGGUAUCAUCAUUAAAGAUUUAUCGGUGUACGAUGGGGAUGCGUUCCAUUAGGUAGUAGGCGGGGUAACGGCCCACCUAGCCAACGAUGGAUAGGGGUUCUGAGAGGAAGGUCCCCCACAUUGGAACUGAGACACGGUCCAAACUCCUACGGGAGGCAGCAGUGAGGAAUAUUGGUCAAUGGACGAGAGUCUGAACCAGCCAAGUAGCGUGAAGGAUGAGGGUCCUACGGAUUGUAAACUUCUUUUAUAAGGGAAUAAACCCUCCCACGUGUGGGAGCUUGUAUGUACCUUAUGAAUAAGCAUCGGCUAACUCCGUGCCAGCAGCCGCGGUAAUACGGAGGAUGCGAGCGUUAUCCGGAUUUAUUGGGUUUAAAGGGAGCGCAGACGGGUCGUUAAGUCAGCUGUGAAAGUUUGGGGCUCAACCUUAAAAUUGCAGUUGAUACUGGCGUCCUUGAGUGCGGUUGAGGUGUGCGGAAUUCGUGGUGUAGCGGUGAAAUGCUUAGAUAUCACGAAGAACUCCGAUUG